AUGCUUGCUUCGGCAGCACAUAUACUAAAAUUGGAAGAUUAGCAUGGCCCCUGCGCAAAGGAUGACACACAAAUUCGUGAAGCAUUCUAUAUUUAA
rnacentral:snRNA from 1 species